rnacentral:rRNA from 1 species
GACGGAGGAUGCAAGUGUUAUCCGGAAUCACUGGGCGUAAAGCGUCUGUAGGUGGUUUAAAAAGUCCAAUGUUAAAAAUUGAAGCUUAACUUCAAAGGUGCCUUGGAAACUUUUAAACUGGAGGAUGGUAGGGGUAGAGGGAAUUUCCAGUGGAGCGGUGAAAUGCGUAGAUAUUGGAAAGACCACCAAUGGCGAAGGCACUCUACUGGGCCAUUACUGACACUGAGAGACGAAAGCUAGGGGAGCAAACGGG